CACAGUCGCAAGCAGAUCGAGUGUCGGACGCCGGACGGGAAGCGGCGCAUCACGCCCAUGUUCGUCCCGAGCCAGGACGUGGCGACGGAGGGCCCGGCUCCGUUCGCCUCGGAGCGGCCCUUCACCAGCUCCUCCGGCACCAGUCCGUCGGUGAUGGUGGAGAAGAGGGACCAGGUGGUCACGCCCCAGAUCUCUGACGUCACGCCGGCGGACCGGCAGCUGAGCGGCGC